rnacentral:rRNA from 1 species
UGGGGAAUAUUGGACAAUGGGCGCAAGCCUGAUCCAGCAAUGCCGCGUGAGUGAUGAAGGCCUUCGGGUUGUAAAGCUCUUUCGCACGCGACGAUGAUGACGGUAGCGUGAGAAGAAGCCCCGGCUAACUUCGUGCCAGCAGCCGCGGUAAUACGAAGGGGGCUAGCGUUGUUCGGAAUUACUGGGCGUAAAGGGCGCGUAGGCGGUUUGUCAAGUCAGGCGUGAAAGCCCGGGCUCAACCUGGGAACUGCGCUUGAGACUGGCAGGCUCGAGUUCGGGAGAGGAUGGUGGAAUUCCCAGUGUAGAGGUGAAAUUCGUAGAUACUGGGAAGAACACCGAUGGCGAAGGCAGCCAUCUGGACCGACACUGACGCUGAGGCGCGAAAGCGUGGGGAGCGAAACAGGAUUAGAUACCCUGGUAGUCCACGCCGUAAACGAUGAGUGCUAGACGUCGGGGCCCUCAGGGCUUCGGUGUCGCA